rnacentral:rRNA from 1 species
GGUAGCCGGCCUGAGAGGGCGACCGGCCACACUGGGACUGAGACACGGCCCAGACUCCUACGGGAGGCAGCAGUGGGGAAUAUUGGGCAAUGGAGGAAACUCUGACCCAGCGACGCCGCGUGAGGGAUGAAGGCCUUCGGGUUGUAAACCUCUUUCAGUAGGGAAGAAGCGAAAGUGACGGUACCUACAGAAGAAGCACCGGCUAACUAUGUGCCAGCAGCCGCGGUAAUACAUAGGGUGCAAGCGUUGUCCGGAAUUAUUGGGCGUAAAGAGCUCGUAGGUGGUUCGAUACGUCGGAUGUGAAAAUCAGGGGCUCAACCCCUGACCUGCAUCCGAUACGGUCGAGCUAGAGUUUGGUAGGGGA